ensembl:lncRNA
GUUAAACAUAGAGGAUACAUGCUGACAAAGCGCAUAGAGGAGCAAGAGACACUAACAGAACAAUUAGAAGAGGAGAAAAAGAAAGUUAUCUAGCAAAGGUUAGCUAACAGGUGGCUAAUUCACUGCUAUUGGCUCUGUGUCUUGUCAUGUGGAGCCUGAGCACUGUGGCCUGAGUGAACACAGCUGCACCGUGAUGCAUCCAGUUUCAAGUGCAGAUCAAAAGAAGGAAACAUCAGACAUCAAACAAAUGUUGGCAGGGAUGAGUGGAAAUGCUGUGCAUUUGAUUUUUGAACUAUCACUUUGAACAUGGCAGUGGCAUUCACGGUCCCUCACAGUCCCAAAAAGCUCCAUGACAACUGCAUCGCUACCUGUGCAGCCGAAAAAUCAGACAAAGCAAACAACGAUUCAUAAACAUCUGAAGAUGAAAGUGCACAGCAGCGGAACAGCAGCGACUCUCUUUUUGCUCUCUCUUGAUUGAGGCCCUUCUGGACCAACUCAAUGCCGGGCCUGAUGUCAUGUACCUCCUCUUGGAAUUUUUUGGAGAGGGGUCUCCGGGCCUGGCUGGCCCCACUUCAGACAUUGCUCUACUUUUUUGCUCCGCUGAGGAUGUCUCUCUGCUUCUUUGCUCCUCUGGGGAUGUUCCUCUGCCCCAUUGCCACAAGUGAUGCCACUACACUCUCCCUGCUCUGCCUCAGUCUUCAAUAUGCCAUGCAGAUCCACUGAGGAUACCUCUGCUGAGGACAUUUUGCCUCCUAUAUGUAAUCCUUGUUCCACUGAGGAUGUCACUCUGUCUCCUUGCUCCACUGAGGAUUUGGGGCGGUUGGGGGGUGCUGUCAUGAUAGUGUCAAAGGGAUGUUGAACUACAUUACUCCUCAGCCCCAGCACAUCACAUGACCAUGUCACAUGUCUCACUGAUCACUCACACCUGUUCUGUGUUACUCCUUAUAAGCACCCCUAUUUAAGUUCUGGUAUCUGGGUGUUCCUUUGUCAAUCUUUUGUCAUUUUGUAUUAGUUUUUAGUGGUGUGUACCCCAGUAUCACUCAUAGCUGUAUGUUCUUUGCUUUGUAUGCUCUAUACAUGCUUCUUGUCCUUAUUGUCAUGUCAUUGGUUUUGCUAGCACCUUCUUUUAAUAAACUUUAACUGCA